rnacentral:rRNA from 1 species
GUGCCAGCAGCCGCGGUAAUACAGAGGGGGCGAGCGUUAUUCGGAAUUAUUGGGCGUAAAGGGCGCGUAGGCGGCUUUGCAAGUGACGGGUGAAAGCCCUCGGCUUAACCGAGGAACUGCCUGUCAGACUGUGAGGCUUGAGACCGGGAGAGGUGAGUGGAAUUCCCAGUGUAGCGGUGAAAUGCGUAGAUAUUGGGAGGAACACCAGUGGCGAAGGCGGCUCACUGGACCGGAACUGACGCUGAGGCGCGAAAGCGUGGGGAGCAAACAGGAUUAGAUACCCGCGUAGUCC